ACCACUUUCCAGGUGAACAACAUGCUCACUGCUCUGCUUGUUCUGGCAAUCUGUCUUUUUACAGGUCAAAGUUACGAAAAUGGUGUUUUCCAGGCACCAGAUACCAUCUUGGGUUCUUCGGGGAGCUUUGUAGAAAUGAACUGCAGUCACAACAAGGAUAUCAACCACCGUCAGAUGUACUGGUUCAAGCAGCUUCCAGGGGAAGGAAUGAUACCCAUUGUGUUUACAUUUGUUGGUGGAGAUCCUGACUAUGGGAGUUUUAGUAAAGACAAAUAUGAGACAGUAAAAACUGUGGUUGAGAUGGGCUCUUUAACUGUGAAGAACUUAGAUCCAGGGGACAGUGCUCUAUAUUUCUGUGCUGUUAGUAAGCACUGUGGUGAAACGUCACCAAAGCAUGUAACAAAAAUUACAAGAACUAAGUCUGACAAUGACAAUGUGACAGUGUGUGGUUCAUAAUCUGGUCUUCAGGUGGUGCUGUAGUUUCAAAAAUGUAUGCAAGUGGUUGGGGCAUAUGGGCUUUUAAUGUCUCUUGACUAUCAGGCAAUGAUAAUGAAGACAAACAAAUUAACAUACAUAAAUAAUAUAGCCCAUAAAUGUUUCUAUUUAAAAAAAUUGGAUUUGCUCCCAUACAUGCUAUCCUAUGUGUUCUCCCAUGUGUAAUGUAAAUGUAAAUGAAAAUGCCAUAAAUGGAAAUGGAAAUGUGUGAUAUGAGCUCAGACAUAGAAAUAUAGUUUUUCUUUUAACUUGAAUUGCAUAUAAUUGCUUUCUGACACUGCUUUUCUUGGUUUUAUUUAAUAUGUUUUUUUGUUUGUUUGUUUAUUUUUUUGGCCAUGUUUCCUUAAUUAAGGAAUCAAUGCAUUUUGAUAAUUGUUUUGCUAUUAUUUAUUCAGGUUCAGUGCAGUUUUCAGUUAUAUUUCCAUUAGUUACAUUGUUGUUAGUGCUCUUAACUAACUUCUAUCACUUUUGUAAAUGCUGUGAAAUGAGACACUGUCAAUAAAAGCAU